AACCCCUAUAGACAUGGUUACUAGUAUUUUCUUGUUUUUACCUGGUAUUAUUAUUUCCGACACCCCUUGAACACACUUUGAUUUUCCGUAGUUCAGUGAAUGCAACAAAAGCACGUUGCUGCAUUAAGCUAGGCAAAACGGAGCAAGACACCGAGAGCAAAUAACAAGCUACACAAGGCCUUUAUGUGUUUUACUCUCGACCAAAACCAGGCAGAGCGUGUAUUUGUUUCUUGGGAAUUCCGACUGGUUUUUUGUGAUCCUGGAUCUGAAGUGGUUCUGGAUAUGGAUGGCGAGCCAGACCCUGUGAAAACUCUUGGCGAAUCCAAAAGCAGUGUGGCCAGCUGUUCUGGAUGCAGGAGUAGAGCUACAGUCUGAAUUACUUCGAAUCGCAGGAUUUCAGAUAAGCAAGAACAAAAAACUGCUUACUUGAUACGGAUUGUUUCUCUGGGAAACUAUUGAACUCCCAAUAUCCUGCUCAUCAGGAGUCAGGUCUAAAGAGACUACUUAUUUUAUUUUAUUUUGUUGUUAUUUUCAAAAGAGCGCUCUUCUCUGUUGAUCUUCUGUUAAUUUUCUAUGCUGUUUACAUUGGAUUAUUGCACCACUGUAACAUUGUAAUAAAUCUGCCGGCUGUUCAACACUCAGUUCUCUCAAAUUUAUUUUACUCCUCUCGAAUCUAGUCUAUAAGUUUAACCCUACUAUACUAAGCAGGUGUUACACCUUGUU
ensembl:lncRNA